GAUGAACGCUGGCGGCGUGCCUAAUACAUGCAAGUCGAGCGAACGGACGAGAAGCUUGCUUCUCUGAUGUUAGCGGCGGACGGGUGAGUAACACGUGGGUAACCUAUCUAUAAGACUGGGAUAACUUCGGCAAACCGUAGCUAAUACCGGAUAAUAUUUUGAACCGCAUGGUUCAAAAGAGAAAGACGGUCUUGCUGUCACUUAUAGAUGGAUCCGCGCUGCAUUAGCUAGUUGGUAAGGUAACGGCUUACCAAGGCAACGAUGCAUAGCCGACCUGAGAGGGUGAUCGGCCACACUGGAACUGAGACACGGUCCAGACUCCUACGGGAGGCAGCAGUAGGGAAUCUUCCGCAAUGGGCGAAAGCCUGACGGAGCAACGCCGCGUGAGUGAUGAAGGUCUUCGGAUCGUAAAACUCUGUUAUUAGGGAAGAACAUAUGUGUAAGUAACUGUGCACAUCUUGACGGUACCUAAUCAGAAAGCCACGGCUAACUACGUG
rnacentral:rRNA from 1 species